rnacentral:lncRNA from 12 species
CUGACUUCUGUUUUGAGUAGGAGGAGGAAGAGGAAAGGUCCCUCCAGAUGUGUUGUGUGAGACAGCAUGGAGCCUUAAGGAGAAACGAAGUCCUAACUGGUUUAACACAUUGUGCUUGACACUCCAUCAUCAAGUUAUAUGACUCAACACCUUAAGGAACAACUCAGCCUGGAAAAGC